rnacentral:rRNA from 1 species
GUGGGGAAUCUUGCGCAAUGGGCGAAAGCCUGACGCAGCCAUGCCGCGUGAAUGAUGAAGGUCUUAGGAUUGUAAAAUUCUUUCACCGGGGACGAUAAUGACGGUACCCGGAGAAGAAGCUCCGGCUAACUUCGUGCAAGCAGCCGCGGUAAUACGAAGGGGGCUAGCGUUGCUCGGAAUUACUGGGCGUAAAGGGCGCGUAGGCGGACAGCUUAGUCAGAGGUGAAAGCCCAGGGCUCAACCUUGGAAUUGCCUUUGAUACUGGCUGUCUUGAGUUUGGGAGAGGUGAGUGGAACUCCGAGUGUAGAGGUGAAAUUCGUAGAUAUUCGGAAGAACACCAGUGGCGAAGGCGACUCACUGGCCCAAUACUGACGCUGAGGCGCGAAAGCGUGGGGAGCAAACAGGAUUAGAUACCCCAGUAGUCC